GUAAGGAAUAUUGGUCAAUGGACGCAAGUCUGAACCAGCCAUGCCGCGUGAAGGAUGACGGCCCUCUGGGUUGUAAACUUCUUUUAUCUGGGACGAAAAAAGGGCUUUCUAGCUCACUUGACGGUACCAGAGGAAUAAGCACCGGCUAACUCCGUGCCAGCAGCCGCGGUAAUACGGAGGGUGCAAGCGUUAUCCGGAUUUACUGGGUUUAAAGGGUGCGUAGGUGGGCAGGUAAGUCAGCGGUGAAAUCUCCGAGCUUAACUCGGAAACUGCCAUUGAUACUAUCUGUCUUGAAUAUCCUGGAGGUGAGCGGAAUAUGUCAUGUAGCGGUGAAAUGCUUAGAUAUGACAUAGAACACCAAUUGCGAAGGCAGCUCACUACGGGGUUAUUGACACUGAGGCACGAAAGCGUGGGGAUCAAACAGGAUUAGAAACCCCUGUAGUCC
rnacentral:rRNA from 1 species